UUGAACGCUGGCGGUAUGCUUAACACAUGCAAGUCGAACGGAAACGAUGGGAGCUUGCUUCCAGGCGUCGAGUGGCGGACGGGUGAGUAACGCGUAGGAAUCUGCCCAGUAGUGGGGGACAACCAGGGGAAACCCUGGCUAAUACCGCAUACACCCUACGGGGAAAAGGAGGCCUCUUCUUGAAAGCUUUCGCUAUUGGAUGAGCCUGCGUGAGAUUAGCUAGUUGGUGAGGUAAGAGCUCACCAAGGCGACGAUCUCUAGCUGGUCUGAGAGGACGAUCAGCCACACUGGGACUGAGACACGGCCCAGACUCCUACGGGAGGCAGCAGUGGGGAAUAUUGGACAAUGGGCGCAAGCCUGAUCCAGCAAUACCGCGUGUGUGAAGAAGGCCUUAGGGUUGUAAAGCACUUUCAGCAGUGAAGAAAUGCUUAAGCUUAAUACGCUUGAGUCUUGACGUUAACUGCACAAGAAGCACCGGCUAACUCCGUGCCAGCAGCCGCGGUAAUACGGGGGGUGCAAGCGUUAAUCGGAUUUACUGGGCGUAAAGCGCGCGUAGGUGGUUUGGCAAGUUGGAUGUGAAAGCCCCGGGCUCAACCUGGAUGUUGCAUCCAAAACUGCUAAGACUAGAGUUAGGAGAGGAAAGUGGAAUUUCUGGUGUAGCGGUGAAAUGCGUAGAUAUCAGAAGGAACAUCAAUGGCGAAGGCAGCUUUCUGGACUAAUACUGACAUUGAGGUACGAAAGCGUGGGUAGCAAACAGGAUUAGAUGCCCUGGUAGUCCACGCCGUAAACGAUGUCAACUAGCCGUUGGGAGGAUUGCCUCUUUGGUGGCGCAGCUAACGAGUUAAGUUAUCCGCCUGGGGAGUACGGCCGCAAGGUUAAAACUCAAAGGAAUUGACGGGGACCCGCACAAGCGGUGGAGCAUGUGGUUUAAUUCGAUGCAACGCGAAGAACCUUACCUGGUCUUGACAUCCUCGGAACUUUCCAGAAAUGGAUUGGUGCCUUCGGGAACCGAGUGACAGGUGCUGCAUGGCUGUCGUCAGCUCGUGUCGUGAGAUGUUGGGUUAAGUCCCGUAACGAGCGCAACCCCUAUUCUUAUUUGCCAGCACAUUAUGGUGGGAACUUUAAGAAGACCGCCGGUGACAAACCGGAGGAAGGUGGGGACGACGUCAAGUCAUCAUGGCCCUUAUGACCAGGGCUACACACGUGCUACAAUGGCCGGUACAGCGGGCUGCUAGCCCGCGAGGGUGUGCUAAUCUCAUAAACCUUUUCGUAGUCCGGAUCGGAGUCUGCAACUCGACUCGGUGAAGUCGGAAUCGCUAGUAAUCGUGGAUCAGAAUGCCACGGUGAAUACGUUCCCGGGUCUUGUACACACCGCCCGU
rnacentral:rRNA from 1 species